rnacentral:rRNA from 1 species
UACGAAGGGGACUAGCGUUGUUCGGAAUUACUGGGCGUAAAGCGUGCGCAGGCGGUUUUGUAAGCCAGAUGUGAAAUCCCCGGGCUUAACCUGGGAAUGGCAUUUGGGACUGCAAGGCUUGAGUGCGGCAGAGGAGACUGGAAUUCCUGGUGUAGCAGUGAAAUGCGUAGAUAUCAGGAGGAAUACCGAUGGCGAAGGCAGGUCUCUGGGCUGACACUGACGCUCAUGCACGAAAGCGUGGGGAGCAAACAGG